rnacentral:sRNA from 1 species
GAUCAUUAUUGUAUAACCGAGGUGCGAGGGCUGUCGCUGACCCGAAAGGUCGUGCACGCCCGAGUGCCCUCACACACAUCCAUCUCACCCCUAUGUGCACCACCGCGUGGGUCCCCCUUUGGCUUGUUCGGAGGGGGGCUUACGUUUUCACACAAACUUUGUAUGCAGUGUAGAAUGUAUUUUUUGUUUUUGCGAUCACGCAAUCAAUACAACUUUCAACAACGGAUCUCUUGGCUCUCGCAUCGAUGAAGAACGCAGCGAAAUGCGAUACGUAAUGUGAAUUGCAGAAUUCAGUGAAUCAUCGAAUCUUUGAACGCACCUUGCGCCCCUUGGCAUUCCGAGGGGCACACCCGUUUGAGUGUCGUGAAAUUCUCAAAAACCUUUUUCUUUUUGGGAAAGGGUUUUUGGACUUGGAGGCUUUUUGCUGGCUUCACCUUGAAGUGAGCUCCUCCUAAAUGAAUCAGUGGGGUCCGCUUUGCCGAUCCUUGACGUGAUAAGAUGUUUCUGCGUCUUUGGGUUUGGCACUGUCACCUGCUUCUAACUGUCUCAUUGACAAUGAUGGUGCUCCGGUCACCACCGCUCUUAUCGGUGGGAGGCUUGACCCACAAAAACAAAACCU